rnacentral:lncRNA from 1 species
AGAGAAUAUAGAGCGUGUCAGAAUCCUUUCAGAUUCAUCAUUUCAAUAUUUCCUUCUGCUACAAUGGUUUAAUUAGAGGAGUCUUCUUUUGGGGAGUAAUUGGUAGGUGAUAUAAAUAGUGUAGUUUCUAGGAGCUGAACAUUUUGUCAAUAAAAGUCAAGGCAUGAUAAAAGUAGAUAAGGAGGAUAGCGGGAAUUCCAAAAACGGCUCCAGUUAGCUCAGAGGCAUUGUCCUUCUGAUAUAGCUAAACCAAGACCAAGCUGACUUUCCUGACGUUGCCUUGGCACAGAGACAAAACUUACUUGCAUUUGUCUUUAGCUGCCUGUGGAGAGGUACUGUAUUGUAUUGUGACUAUGCUUUGCAAAGGAAAACAGAUUUUCCUUGGCUAUAUGGAGUUUCACAUGAG